rnacentral:rRNA from 1 species
GAGUUUGAUCCUGGCUCAGGAUGAACGCUAGCGGCAGGCCUAAUACAUGCAAGUCGAACGGUUGGCAGCAAUGUCAAUAGUGGCGCACGGGUGCGUAACGCGUAACCAACCUACCCGAAUCUGGGGGAUAGCCCGCCGAAAGGCGGAUUAAUACCGCAUAAAACUGCAGCCUGGCAUCGGGUAACAGUUAAAGAUUUAUUGGAUUCGGAUGGGGUUGCGUGCCAUUAGCUAGUUGGCGGGGUAACGGCCCACCAAGGCGACGAUGGCUAGGGGAGCUGAGAGGCUGGUCCCCCACACGGGCACUGAGAUACGGGCCCGACUCCUACGGGAGGCAGCAGUAGGGAAUAUUGGGCAAUGGUCGAGAGACUGACCCAGCCAUGCCGCGUGCAGGAUGAAGGCUUUCUGAGUCGUAAACUGCUUUUACCAGGGAAGAAAAAAGGGGAUGCGUCCUUUACUGACGGUACCUGGUGAAUAGCACCGGCUAACUCCGUGCCAGCAGCCGCGGUAAUACGGAGGGUGCAAGCGUUGUNCGGAUUUAUUGGGUUUAGAAGGUGCGUAGGCGGCUGAUUNAGUCUGGGGGUGAAAAGCCGUUGCUCAACAACGGAACUGGCCUGGAAACUGGUUAGCUUGAGUACAGACGAAGGUGGGCGGAAUGGAUUC